rnacentral:rRNA from 1 species
GUCUAUGGCCAUGCCACCCUGAACAAGCCUGAUUCCGUUUGAUCAAGGUCAGGCCUGGUUAGUAUUUGGAUGGGAGACCACCUAGGAAGACCAAGUGCUGUAGGUA